AAUAAGAUCUUCAGUUCCAUCAUAAGUAGGAAAGUCUAAUUUAGUGUAUCUGGGUACUAUACCUCUUCCUCCGAUGCUGUCAUCAAUACCAGAAUUGAUGUUGUUUCUUCUCCCUAGAUGAAGAUCUGAAUGUUCACCUGCAUUACUGGUUCAAUGGGCAGCAACAGUACUAUUAUCUCCAACUUCAACUCCCUUCAUAAACGUCGCGGUGCGGAUUAAGGCUUCAAUCUGUUGCGAUAGUUGCUGGAAUUUGGCGUCUGUCCUCGCUUCUGAAGCUGCUACUUUUGCUUCAGCUUUAGCUUGGGCUUCCUGGAAAAGAUUUCGCACCUUUGCUUCUACCGAUUUUUCAUCCAUCGUGACAAGCUCUGAUACCAAAUUGUUAUGGUCUCUUAUUUUGGAUCGAGUCGCUGGACGAUUAACAGGAAAGUCAGGCCCAACACAAAGGUCUAAGCCCUUGUUCUUGUUCCUAGACUGCCUAUGAUUGCUAGAUUUGCAAUUCAAUCAGGGAAUUGCGCAGGGAAUUGCGCACCUGGGAACUUGUUUGAGAAAAGUUCCAAAUCUCUGUGACUUGAAGAAAUUCAACCUACUACUUUUAUUGAUUAGCGUCAACUCUCUUAAAUAGAGGUUACAAAGCAAGAGUCCUAACAAAUAAGAAAUAGCAAGAAUCCUAACUCAGAAAAGAGUCCUAACUAAAAGAGAUAACAAGAGUUCUAAAUCACUAAGGGAAGUUUUAUUCAAAGCUGACAAAAUAAUUCAGAAAAUAUCAAUCAUUAUCUAUCCUAUUAAUUCUUGCGUCUAGUAAAUUGUCUGCCAACAAAUGCAUCCAUAACAAUUUGCCACCCAAGCACAGUUAAAAAAUAGACGAUCUGUACUUUCAUUCUCGGUAUUACAGAACGAACAACUUAGACUGUCAAUUACACCCCAUCUCACCAACCUGUCUCUGGUAUGCAAUCUGCCAUGAGCUGCCAUCAAUAAUAUGAAUAUCCACCUUGGUACUGCUAAGUUAUUACAUACAAGCUUCUUCCAGACCACCUUCUGAUAAGUCCCUCUCAUGGUUUUGCACAUUUUCCUGAUAGAGUAAUUUUCAAUAUUCUGCGGUUCUUGAAUAGAGACCCCAAUAUCUUGUAAAUAUAUUCUGGAAUAUUGUACCAGAUUUCUGGAAUUUUGAUGAACAAUCCAAAAAAAUGUCAUUAUUGUACCAGAUUUCUUCAAUCAACCUUCAGCUCAACUAUCAGUACCUUCUGUCUUCAUUGAAAUUGUUGUUCUAAUUAAGUUUGUCAAUUUAAUUUCUGGUUUAAGUCCUUUUAACUCUUUCAAGUAGACAUUUGUAGUGCUGAUAAUAUACUGUUUGUACUAGAGAACACAAUUGUUUUGCAGGAAGCAAUUGUGUUGUUAUUUUGUAAAAUAAUUUUUCUUUUUCAUAUUUCUGUUUUCAGGAAAAAAUAAAACAACUUAAAGGCUGUUUUCUGAAUACUUCUUCCACAAUCCACAAUAUAAUACAUGCUUGCUCCAGAUCUAGUUUGGAGUUUAAGGUGAUAUCCAAGUGCGCAAUAUAACUUUUGCUGAGACCCAAUUUGUAUCUCAAGUCUGUGCGAGCCUAUGCACUAUGGAACAGUCACUGAUAUUUCUCUAGAGAUUACUAAUUUCAAAACUGCAUUAAUGGCUCUCUAGAAAUCCGGAUGUUGUAGUCUUGUCUUCUGGACUUUGUUGGGCUUCUUGAUUUUGGGGUGCUUGUAUUUACUAUAGCCUCUCUUGCUUGUAGUAGCAACAGUAUAUGCUGGUUUGAACCAUGUGUAGUUUCGGUUUUCCUGGAGAGCAUAGAGUUUGUCUAUUGGUUCUUCUGGUACUUUUUGCUAUUUGUUGUUUUGCUGGAUUAUUGGAGAAAAAUCCAGUAUUGGUGGGCUGCUCCCCCUCCCCCUCCCUCUUUUGCCUUGAAGACUAAGCUGAGGAAAAAUGGCAUCUGUAAGAGCACCGGUAUCAUGUCAAUGGUGGUUUUCAGAUGAUUCUACAAGGCUGGAAGCUGAAAAUUAGCACCGGUAGCCUAGAUUUGGAUAAUCGCAUUGACAUGGGAAGAACCUCCCCAUUCAAGGGGCUGAAAAACAUGCCAAAAGCAAAUGAAUUGAGCAGUAUCCCUGGAUAUGCUGUCAUGUGGUGUUAAUUUUGGUCUUAAAUUAUUUAUCGUUGUCGGGAAAAAUAAACUAGUACUAAUCGUUCAGAGCAGCUUAUUUUGUUCCAAAUGGACCUGAUUUGACAAGCUUCCAUUAAUAAUCUGUUCACCGAGUGCCGAAAUUCA